CCUACGGGUGGCAGCAGUGAGGAAUAUUGGUCAAUGGCCGGAAGUCUGAACCAGCCAAGCCGCGUGAAGGACGAAGGUGCCAAGCAUUGUAAACUUCUUUUGUCAAGGGACAAAAUCAGGCUCGAGAGCCUGACCGAGGGUACUUGAAGAAAAAGCAUCGGCUAACUCCGUGCCAGCAGCCGCGGUAAUACGGAGGAUGCGAGCGUUAUCCGGAUUUAUUGGGUUUAAAGGGUGCGUAGGCGGGCUGUUAAGUCAGCGGUAAAAGCCCGGGGCUCAACCCCGGCGAGCCGUUGAAACUGGGUGUCUUGAGAUGGCGAGAGGUAUGCGGAAUGCGCAGUGUAGCGGUGAAAUGCUUAGAUAGUGCGCAGAACUCCGAUUGCGAAGGCAGCAUACCGGCGGCGAUCUGACGCUGAGGCACGAAAGCGUGGGUAUCGAACAGGAUUAGAUACCCGAGUAGUC
rnacentral:rRNA from 1 species